AAUGGUCCUCGGUAGUGGUUUCCGGAGAUUUCUUUCGUAGAAAAGUUCCGUGAACUUCGAUCGAAGAUUCAU
ncrna:unclassified sequences Actino-pnp RNA